AUGGAAAGGAAUUACCCAGGCCUGGCUACCAGUUUGGAACAUGAGAUGGGAAAACUAAGAGUGCAAUUCAUCAGAAUCCCCAACCACAGAGGUAUUAUGGGGAAAUAUCCAAUUUUGAUGUCUAUGAUCUGCCCAUUUCUCCCACCUCAAAGGAGGAGGAACCAGUUGGCUAGAUGGUCAUUGGCUAGACCAUCUGUCCUGGACCUGAGGAGUGCUGACCAGAAUAAGGAGGAGGAGGAGAAGGGAGCCCAGAAGCCACAAAGAGUGGGGAAAAAAGGCUGCGACGAUCCCAGAGGAGAGCAAAGAAGAGUGGGGAGUCCUGAGGAAGAAGGGAGUGGCUGGCGUAUUGAUCAAAGCAGAGCUGAUUGGAAGAAGGGGGGAGCUGGUACAAGUUGCCAGGAGCUAAUGGUCCAGAAGGAGGACUGAGGUGUGUUUGUAUUGCUUACCAAUGCAAAUCAUAGGCAAAUUAUUUUUUAGUUGGGUGACCCUGUUGGUGGGGCCUUUGUUUUUGUUUUUGUUGUUGAUUUGUUUGUUUUGUUUCUCAAGCUUAGGUAGUACUGUAUUUCACAGAAGAGAAAAAGUCACAGAAAUGUUAAAUAAUUUGCUCAAUGUCACACAGCUAAUAAGGAGCCUAGCCAGGAUCUGAACCAAAAGAGUCUGACUCCAAAGUCUAAGAUGUUAGCAACCAAACCAUUGCUGUUGAGUAAUGGUUACUCGUUUUUGUUUAUAUCACCAAGUCCAAACAGAGUUCAACUGUCCCAGCCACAAUUCAAAGGCAGAAGUGCCCAGAUGUUAGAGAUUAAUCCAGAUAGCAAAUGAUGUCUAGCUCAAAGAGUCUUGGAAAUCUUUGUUAAAUGUUUUGGUGGAAGAUUUUGUAAAAAAAAUAGACAAACAGGAACCUCAAUUAGAGUGGGUGGACCAGCAGGGGGAGCUCUCAUGUCCGGUGAUGGGGGCAGAGCCCAGUAGGGAGAAAGUCUCCUCUUCUUUCCUGGCAGGAACUCAGCCAAUGGAAAACCAUGGACUCUGUGUUACCCCAGCCUCCCAGCUUCCUUUACCCUCUAUGAGAGUGUCCUGUUACUGUUACUUUGUCGGAGUGGGGUAGGGGUGGGGGUGCGGGAACACUUGCACAUGGCUCACCAUAGUUGCAAACUCUGAACUGGGAUUCUCUGCUGAUCCCAAGUAAAGCUAUCUUUGGUGGAGAAAUAUCUGGCUAUCUAUUGGUUUCAGGUCAACAGAUCCAAACAUAAUCAAAGUUUAUUUAAAAGUCUCAAAUAGUUUCUUACAAACAAGAAAAGCCUCCAUCCUAAUCAAGUGGAUACAUAUUAAUGUCAAAUAGUCAUUUAAGGUAUUCUAUCUUAUUUGAACAGAUGUUAGAGAUUAAUCCAGAUAGCAAAUAAUGUCUAGCUCAAGGAGUCUUGGACAUCUU
rnacentral:lncRNA from 1 species